rnacentral:rRNA from 1 species
GAUGAACGCUAGCGAUAGGCUUAACACAUGCAAGUCGAGGGGCAGCAUGAACAAAGCUUGCUUUGUUUGAUGGCGACCGGCGCACGGGUGCGUAACACGUAUGCAACUUACCCAUAAAGCGAGGAUAACCCGGAGAAAUUCGGACUAAUACUCGAUGGUAUUAUUGGGGGGCAUCUUCUAAUAAUUAAAGAUUUAUCGAUUAUGGAUAGGCAUGCGCAUGAUUAGCUAGUUGGUGAGGUAACGGCUCACCAAGGCGACGAUCAUUAGGGGUUCUGAGAGGAAGGUCCCCCACACUGGUACUGAGACACGGACCAGACUCCUACGGGAGGCAGCAGUGAGGAAUAUUGGUCAAUGGACGAGAGUCUGAACCAGCCAAGUCGCGUGAAGGAAGACUGCCCUAAGGGUUGUAAACUUCUUUUGUGUGGGAAUAAAAAGAGGGACGUGUCCCUCAUUGUAUGUACCAUACGAAUAAGGAUCGGCUAACUCCGUGCCAGCAGCCGCAGUAAAAC